AAGUCGUAACAAGGUUUCCGUAGGUGAACCUGCGGAAGGAUCAUUAUCACGUAUUAAUCCACGUUAUAAACCCUUCUUUGAACUGUUUUUAACUAAACAAUUUCUAGAGUAAGUGAAUGGACAAUGGGCGACGAAACACGACUUUGGACUGCGCGUCCGAUGAAAGGAAUGCUAAUUGUAAUUUGAACAUUCCGACUGUUUCAUGUAGCUAGAUGUGUUCUCUCUCGUAGAGACAAUUCUAUUUAUCUGUUUGUCAGAUAAACCGUCAUCAUUCGAGUUCUCUGGGAUGUAAUUCAAAUUUUACAUAUAUUAUUGAUUAACAAUACUUGAACCCCUUUUGAUAAAUUGAACUUAUAGAUCGUUACCCUCGUAAAAACAGGGACUGAUCAACAUACGAAACAAAGAACAACUCUUAGCAACGGAUAUCUUGGUUCUC
rnacentral:misc_RNA from 1 species